rnacentral:tRNA from 1 species
GAGAGUACAGCUUAGUGGUAGAGCUUGUGCUUAGCACGCACAAGGUCCUGGGUUCAAUCCCCAGGACUGCCA